AAGGAUCAUUAUCGUGGGGCUUCGGCCCUAUCGUGAUAGAACCCUUGCCUUUUGAGUACCGUCCGUUUCCUCGGCAGGCCCGCCUGCCAAUGGGGACCCCAAUAAACCCUUUUAUGUACCUGUAUCAGUCUGAAAAACAAACAAAAGUUAAAACUUUCAACAACGGAUCUCUUGGUUCUG
rnacentral:misc_RNA from 1 species